GUCCUUGCCGUAAACGAUGUAUACUUGAUGUAGUUAGGCUCAACCCUGACUGUGUCGAAGCUAACGCGAUAAGUAUACCGCCUGGGGAGUACGCUCGCAAGGGUGAAACUCAAAAGAAUUGACGGGGGCCCGCACAAGCAGUGGAGCAUGUGGUUUAAUUCGAUGCAACGCGAAGAACCUUACCCAGGCUCGAAAUGUAGUAGACGGUUACAGAAAUGGAACUUUCCGCAAGGACUGCUAUAUAGGUGCUGCAUGGCUGUCGU
rnacentral:rRNA from 1 species